rnacentral:rRNA from 1 species
GACGAACGCUGGCGGCGUGCCUAAUACAUGCAAGUCGAGCGCAGGAAACUGACGGAACUCUUCGGAGGGAAGGCAGUGGAAUGAGCGGCGGACGGGUGAGUAACACGUAAGGAACCUGCCUCAAGGAUUGGGAUAACUCCGAGAAAUCGGAGCUAAUACCGGAUAGUUCAACGGACCGCAUGGUCCGCUGAUGAAAGGCGCUCCGGCGUCACCUUGAGAUGGCCUUGCGGUGCAUUAGCUAGUUGGUGGGGUAACGGCCCACCAAGGCGACGAUGCAUAGCCGACCUGAGAGGGUGAGCGGCCACACUGGGACUGAGACACGGCCCAGACUCCUACGGGAGGCAGCAGUAGGGAAUCUUCCACAAUGGACGAAAGUCUGAUGGAGCAACGCCGCGUGAGUGAUGAAGGUUUUCGGAUCGUAAAACUCUGUUGUAAGGGAAGAACACGUACGAGAGGAAAUGCUCGUACCUUGACGGUACCUUACGAGAAAGCCACGGCUAACUACGUGCCAGCCGCCGCAGUAA